rnacentral:rRNA from 1 species
ACGGGGCCCGCACAAGCAGCGGAGCAUGUGGCUUAAUUCGAAGCAACGCGAAGAACCUUACCAGGUCUUGACAUCCCGAUGCUAUUUCUAGAGAUAGAAAGUUACUUCGGUACAUCGGUGACAGGUGGUGCAUGGUUGUCGUCAGCUCGUGUCGUGAGAUGUUGGGUUAAGUCCCGCAACGAGCGCAACCCUCGACCUUAGUUGCCAGCAUUCAGUUGGGCACUCUAAGAUGACUGCCGGCUAAAAGUCGGAGGAAGGUGGGGAUGACGUCAAAUCAUCAUGCCCCUUAUGACCUGGGCUACACACGUGCUACAAUGGGCGGUACAAAGGGUCGCGAACCCGCGAGGGGGAGCCAAUCCCAAAAAGCCGCUCUCAGUUCGGAUUGCAGGCUGCAACUCGCCUGCAUGAAGCCGGAAUCGCUAGUAAUCGCGGAUCAGCAUGCCGCGGUGAAUACGUUCCCGGGCCUU